GAGGUUAUUUAAAUUGGAGACACCUCUUUUCAAAAUGUCUUCCCCAAAACAUUUAAGAUAUGAUGUCUUAAAUUUAAAGACACCAAACAUUAAAUAUUUUUAUCAUGGGAAGACUCCUUAGAGCAACCCCAACCUUGUAUCUUAGCUAAUUCUUAGGUAUAAAAGUGAUUAAAUUUAAUAAAACCAACAAACCUUAGCUAAGAUAAACAUCUUAAUUAAUUCUUAAAACUAAGAAGAGUAUAUGUGUUGUGUUUUGAGUGGGUAGACAUUGUUUUGAAAUAGUUUGAAUUGUUGUUUUUUAAGAAUCUAAUAGUUCUUAACCAUUCGAGUAGAAAUUAGUUAAGAUUUU
rnacentral:sRNA from 1 species